rnacentral:rRNA from 1 species
CCUACGGGCGGCUGCAGUCGAGAAUCAUUCACAAUGGGGGAAACCCUGAUGGUGCGACGCCGCGUGGGGGAAUGAAGGUCUUCGGAUUGUAAACCCCUGUCAUGUGGGAGCAAAUUAAAAAGAUAGUACCACAAGAGGAAGAGACGGCUAACUCUGUGCCAGCAGCCGCGGUAAUACAGAGGUCUCAAGCGUUGUUCGGAAUCACUGGGCGGAAAGCGUGCGUAGGCGGUUUCGUAAGUCGUGUGUGAAAGGCGCGGGCUCAACCCGCGGACGGCAGAUGAUACUGCGAGACUAGAGUAAUGGAGGGGGAAGCGGAAUGCUCGGUGUAGCAGUGAAAUGCGUAGAUAUCGAGAGGAACACUCGUGGCGAAGGCGGGUUCCUGGACAUUAACUGACGCUGAGGCACGAAGGCCAGGGGAGCGAAAGGGAUUAGAUACCCGGGUAGUC